AACGCACCUUGCGCCCUUUGGUAUUCCGAAGGGCAUGCCUGUUUGAGUGUCAUUGAAUUCUCAACCUUACAACUUUUUUGUUGUCAAGGCUUGGAUGUGAGGGUUGCCGGCUUCCUUCAGUGGAUGGUCAGCUCCCUUUAAAAGCAUUAGCGGGAUCCUUUGUGGAUUUGGUGUGAUAAUUAUCUACGCCUUUGAAGCAAAAUCUGUGGGAACCUGCUCAUAACCGUCCCUUGUUGGACAAACGUCUCUUAGGAGGCGCCCUUGACAUUUGACCUCAAAUCAGGUAGGACUACCCGCUGAACUUAA
rnacentral:misc_RNA from 1 species